rnacentral:rRNA from 1 species
AUUGAACGCUGGCGGCAGGCCUAACACAUGCAAGUCGAACGAGUGGCGGACGGGUGAGUAAUGUCUGGGAAACUGCCCGAUGGAGGGGGAUAACUACUGGAAACGGUAGCUAAUACCGCAUACCAUCGGAUGUGCCCAGAUGGGAUUAGCUAGUAGGUGGGGUAUCGGCUCACCUAGGCGACGAUCCCUAGCUGGUCUGAGAGGAUGACCAGCCACCCGGGAACUUAGACACGGUCCAGACUCCUCCGGGAGGCGGGAUGGGGAAAUAUUGCACAAUGAGCCCAAGCCUGAUGUGCCCAUGCCGAGUGUAUGAAGAAGGCUUUCGGGUUGUAAAGUACUAUCAGCGAGGAGGCGGUACUCGCAGAAGAAGCACCGGCUAACUCCGUGCCAGCAGUCGCGGUAAUAC